UUUUUCUGCAGUUCGGGCCGUUCCUGGACGCCAAGCACGAGCAGGUGGAGAGCUGCCAGCUGCCGGGCUCCUUCUCGGACGUGUUCAGGCUCUGCCUCAGGACCAUCAUCGAGGGCACCCGCAGUGCUGGCUGCCAGCUGGUGCUGGUUCCCUCUCUCCGCGACGUCGCCCACGAUUUCGUGUACCCGCA